ensembl:lncRNA
GAUGAUUUACCAAAACAUGCGGCGUUCAGUGAGGGUGCGUGGAAGCAGGCCAUAAAGGACUUCAGUGAGGGUGUUAACGUGGCUUACUAUGCCCAGGCUGAGUCUCUGGACAUCCCCUCAGCCCUGCUGGAGAGCCUGUAUGUCAAGAGAGCAGCUGCCUACCAAAGCGUGGGGGAGAACGAGCAGUGCGUGCAGGACUGCGACAAGGCGUUGGCACUGAACGAGGGCAGCUGUAAAGCACUCCACAGGAAGGCACUCUGCCUGCGGGAGCUGGGCCACAUCAGAGAGGCCUACGACUGCAGCAUGGCCUGCCUGCUCAGUGCCCCCAACGACAAACAAGUGAACAAGUUGGCACAGGAGCUAGCUAACAAACUGGGCCUGAAGAUACGCAAAGCGUACAUCAGCACACAUGUGAGCAUCGCUUUUUUAAAGCUGAAGGCCUGUGUUCAAACAUCAUGGCAACUUAAACACAAACAUGUUCUCUUCUCUCCAUAUCCUACAGCUGACUCCUGUAAGUCUCUCUCCAACCCUAUCCCAGUUAGUGAUGAGUCGUCACCCCGUCCCUCUGGUCCUCUGGUCUACUCCAAACAUCUGGGUAGCCCUGUCCAGUGCCCCCUAGGGGUGCCUUUCUCAGUACCUCAGUCAGAGCAGCUGGGUGACAACGAACUGAUGGGAGAUGAUUUGGACAGCCUGCUGGACUGUCUCAAUGACAAGCCCUAUGUUUCUGACUGUACUUUAAACAGUCAGCUUAAGUUACACUCAAACUGUAUCCAUGUCUCACCCUGUCUGUCUUUGUCAGGUCCGGGGGUCUUAGAUUAUAAACACCAGGAACACCUGGCCCACCGUUGUCAGCAGAACAUUCUACUGUGUAGGAUCAAAGCUUUACCUCACCCUGUCUGGAACAGAGUGCGGCCCCGUCCUGCCAAGCAGAACUUUACCGGGGCAUUCAUGCUCUGCAAAGAGGUGCUCGAGUCUCAGGUGUGUAAGUACGGCGAGGACUGUACGUUUGCGUACUGCCAGGAGGAGGUGGAUGUGUGGACUUUGGAGAGGAAGGAGGUCCUGAACAGAGAGCUGCUGUUUGAACGGCAGGGCCCCAACGACAAGACAACACUCAGCAUCACGCGCCUGCUGCAGCUGCAGAACGGCAUGUUCAUGUAUCUCUGUGGGGUGUGCUAUGACAGUAGGCCCAGGAUCAUCAGUAAGCGCAGUAAGGAGGUGCCAUCCAUCUGCUCCAACCUUGCGGGCCGACACCAUUUCGAUGACCAGAAGUGCCUGGUUCAUGUGGUGAGGUCCAGCAGCAUGUCCUACACCAGGAUCCGCCCUCUGAACCCACUGUGCCAGUUGGAGAUGUGCCGCCGGGCAGUGCGCUACCGCUGCCAACGUGACCACAGCUGUUCCUUCGCCCACUCCGUCAUAGAGCUUGAAUGCUGGAAGCUGCAGCAGGACAAUGGCAUCACUCAUGAAGAAAUUGUGCAGGAAUCCAAACAACACUGGAAUAAACAAGAUGAGACCCGAAGAGGUGGAGGAGGCAACAAAUUGAACCUGAACAUGAAGUAUGUCUGUGGUCUGUGCUGGAGGGAUGGGCUGAUCAGUGAAGCAGAUAAAGCACUGAAGUAUUGCACAGCCAAGGCCAGGCACAGUUGGACGAAGGAUCGUCAGGUUCUGUUGGUGAAGUCCUUAGAAAAAAAGAAGUGGGUGAUGGUGCGGACGUUGCCUGCCGCCAAGACAUACCCUCAUCAGUAUGAUAUAUGCUCCCAUGUAGUGAAGCUGAAGAAGUGCCACUACAUUGGGAACUGCACCUUUGCCCACAGUGAGGAGGAGAAGGAAGUGUGGACCUAUAUGAAGAACAAUGGCUUGAAGGACAUGCAGCAGAUGUACGACAUUUGGCUCACAAUGACCAAACAAAACCGUCAGUCAGACCCUGUGCUCGCGCAAAACACGGAAGUGAAGCAAAUCGUCAUGCCAACCGACUAUGCAGACCCAAUGAGUGGCUUCCACUGUCGUCUGUGCGGUAGGCAUAGUCACAGCGAGCGCCAGUGGCAGCAGCACAUCUCCACAAAGAAGCACAAGGAACGCGUAUUUAGCUGCGAAGGCGAGGACGAAAGUCCGAUUUGGAAACAUCGCUUCCCUGGGCCCCGCUUUGCCCUCUGUCCCAGGCUGGAGAGUGAAUGUCCGGAGGGGGCGAGCUGUGACUACGCUCAUGGUACUGAGGAGCUGGAGGAAUGGCAGGAGAGGCGGGAAUUCCUGCGGCGAAAGCUGGCCAAGGCUCGUGAAGACAUGCUCAUCAUGCCGGACGAAUUGGACUUUGGGAAGUAUAACUUUCUCCUGCAGGACUGA